AACUGGGUAGCAUAAUGGUUAAGUAUAUAGAUUGUGGAACUAGAGUGUCUGGGUUCAAAUCCCAGCUCUAUCA
rnacentral:tRNA from 1 species